GAUGAACGCUGGCGGCGUGCCUAAUACAUGCAAGUCGAGCGAAUGGAUUAAGAGCUUGCUCUUAUGAAGUUAGCGGCGGACGGGUGAGUAACACGUGGGUAACCUGCCCAUAAGACUGGGAUAACUACGGGAAACCGGGGCUAAUACCGGAUAACAUUUUGAACCGCAUGGUUCGAAAUUGAAAGGCGGCUUCGGCUGUCACUUAUGGAUGGACCCGCGUCGCACUAGCUAGUUGGUGAGGUAACGGCGCACCAAGGCAACGAUGCGUAGCCGACCUGAGAGGGUGAUCGGCCACACUGGGACUGAGACACGGCCCAGACUCCUACGGGAGGCAGCAGUAGGGAAUCUUCCGCAAUGGACGAAAGUCUGACGGAGCAACGCCGCGUGAGUGAUGAAGGCUUUCGGGUCGUAAAACUCUGUUGUUAGGGAAGAACAAGUGCUAGUUGAAUAAGCUGGCACCUUGACGGUACCUAACCAGAAAGCCAUGGCUAACUACGUGCCAGCCGCCGCAGUAA
rnacentral:rRNA from 1 species